GAGGGUAGAGCUCAGCGGUAGAGUAUGUGCUUAGCAUGCACAAGGUCCUGGGUUCAAUCCCCAGUACCUCCA
rnacentral:tRNA from 1 species